GACGAACGCUGGCGGCGUGCCUAAUACAUGCAAGUCGAGCGAAUCUUUAGAAGCUUGCUUCUGAAGAUUAGCGGCGGACGGGUGAGUAACACGUGGGUAACCUGCCUGUAAGACUGGGAUAACACCGGGAAACCGGUGCUAAUACCGGAUAAUCCUUUUCCUCUCAUGAGGAAAAGCUGAAAGUCGGUUUCGGCUGACACUUACAGAUGGGCCCGCGGCGCAUUAGCUAGUUGGUGAGGUAACGGCUCACCAAGGCGACGAUGCGUAGCCGACCUGAAGGGGUGAUCGGCCACACGGGGACUGCGACACGGCCCAGACUCCUACGGGAGGCAGCAGUAGGGAAUCUUCCACAAUGGACGAAAGUCUGAUGGAGCAACGCCGCGUGAGCGAUGAAGGCCUUCGGGUCGUAAAGCUCUGUUGUUAGGGAAGAACAAGUAUCGGAGUAACUGCCGGUACCUUGACGGUACCUAACCAGAAAGCCACGGCUAACUACGUGCCAGCAGCCGCCGUAACAC
rnacentral:rRNA from 1 species